rnacentral:tRNA from 1 species
GGAGAGUUGCCUGAGAGGCCGAAAGGACAUGUUUGCUAAACAUGCGUACUGUAAUGGUACCAAGGGUUCGAAUCCCUUACUCUCCG